GCUCAAACAGUUCACAAGCGUUUGCAAAAGGCCAAGCUACCAGGGGUCGAAUCGUUACAUCCGUGCACGGAUCGGCAAACAUACGAAAGAAAAUAUGAUAGCAAACGGAUCGUAAUGUAUUUUCAAUUCACAAUAAUUUUUAAAUUCCACAUUGCUUUGGAUCGUAUUUUUAGGUCACAAUAGAUGUGGAACUGUCAAAACUUUUGCGAAAUUUUCAAUAAACUAAAAACAGCUAAUUAAAUAUCCAACUUUGUUUUUUUUUAUUUAAGCUCAAGUGAAAGUGAUGGGGAUAAAAAACUAGUGCGGAGAUAGCUAAGAGAUCGUAGCAAUAGCAUUAUUGUUGAACAAAGCAUUUGAAUCUUAAAAAUACGGUGGAGAAUUUUAGGAUAUGGCGAGAGAGAAAGGUAUCACCCCACAAAAGUGGAAGAUUUACUAACGUUUGUGAGACUUUACAUAAAAUCUGCAUAAAAUUUACAAUAAGUUACGACCCUCAAAAUUGUGAUUCUUAUCACACACAAGAAAUGGGCACCGGGGUAGCGAACCGCCUCACUGCUAUCGACCAAACGAUAAGAGACCAAAGAAUGUAUACUUAAAUAAAUUUAAUUGAAAUAUGUAUAUGUCCUUUACCUUGUAAAUAGUUUUAUUUUUUAAUGUCGACUAAAAUACAAAAAUUUUGUUCAUAUAAAUAAUUUUUUUUUUAAUUUUUAAUGAGAUAUUCCAUUCAUUGGUUUCUUAUUUGUGUUCUUUAUUACUAAAAAUUAUAAAAAACAUAAAAUUUAAAAAAAUUUGCUCACAUUUCCAUAAAUUUGUCUAUUACGAUUGAUAAUUUACGUAUGACUGACGAUUCGAACAAACGGAUACGUUUAUAUACUCGUUCACGUUUGUCAUCAUGCCAGAUUACGAUAGAAGCGUUACGAUCACGUAUAUAAGCGCUACGAUCACGUAUGUCAUAAUAUGAAAUACAGACUUUUACGUGAGGAGUGAUACGUUCACGGAUGUAACGAUUCCACCCCACAACGAAUAGCCAGGAAAGUUCCAUUAAUGCGAUCAAAAAAUUUAGAUAUGAUGUUAAACUUUGCAAGAAGUCAUUCAGAUUGGUCAUGACCUGAGGGAGCAAAAAAGUGGAGAAGGAGAGAGGAAGCGAUUGUGAGAGAAAUGUGUAUAGUCCAAAAGGAAAGGAAUUUCACGUUCAUUUCACAAAAGAACUGUGAAGCAUGGAGGUGGAAACAUUAUGGUGUGGAGAUGUUUUUCUUGGCAUGGAGUAGGUCCUAUAUACCGGACAACUAACAAAACAACAGCGUCGGAGUACAAGGAAAUACUUGAAAAUAUCAUGAUACCCUAUGCUGAAGAAAACUUACCAUUACGUUGGGUGUAUCAACAAGAUAAUGACCCGAAACAUACCUCCCAACUGAUUAAGAAAUAUUUUGAAGACAAUAGUGUUAACGUUUUGAAGUGGCCAAGCCAAUCCCCGGAUUUAAAUCCAAUAGAAAACAUAUGGGGAGAACUAAAAAAAAAUUUGGCGCCUCAAUCUUUCUCUAACAAAGACCAGUUAUACCUGAGACAGACAUAUAGUAACAAUACCAUAUAUGGUACAAAUACCAUAUGUGUGUCACCAAAAACCAGCAAAAUACUAUAUGAGCAAUGUAGUAUUUUGCUGGUAACAAUACUAUGAUGUUUCAUUGUGGUAUUUGUAUAAACACAGCUAAAAAACAGGUAACAAACUUUGUUAAAAGCUUUUACACAAAAGCUCUUCGAAAUAUUCUGUCAAAAUGACUUAAAAAAUUAAUUAUUGAAAUAGAAAAAAAAAUAUUUUUCACAAUUUUUCUUCCGGAAAAGCAGACAAUGUCUCAUUUUAUGUGAGGAUUCUAGAGAGACUAACCAAAUCGCUUUUUUGCGAUGAAAAUAGAUUAACUUUACAGUAUUUGAAAUAAUUAUACUUAUUUUCUCCAUAACACACAUCUACAUAUUUAUUGUUUACAAUUUUUUUGAAAUAUUUAAUGCCUAUGAAACAAAGGUAGUAUUUCAGUUUACUACAUUGCCGUGUGUGUCACCAA